UCAUCGGUCCAACGGGCAGGGGGACGCCC
rnacentral:sRNA from 1 species